rnacentral:tRNA from 1 species
GGCUCUGUAGCUUAAUUGGUUAAAGCGUCGAAAUGUAAGACGGAGAUUGAGAGUUCGAUUCUCUCCAGAGCCU